AACGAACGCUGGCGGCAGGCUUAAUACAUGCAAGUCGAGCGCCUCGCAAGAGGAGCGGCUGACGGGUGAGUAACGCGUGGGAACGUACCCUUAUCUUCGGAAUAGCCCUGGGAAACUGGAAGUAAUACCGAAUGUGCCCUCAGGGGGAAAGAUAUAUCGAAUAAGGAUCGGCCCGCGUUGGAUUAGCUGGUUGGUGGGGUCAAGUCCUUCCAAGGCGACGAUCCAUAGCUGGUCUGAGAGAAUGAUCAGCCACAUUGGGACUGAGACACGGCCCGAACUCCUACGGAAGGCGGCAGAGGGGAAUAUUGGACAGUGGGCGCAAGCCUGAUCCAGCCAUGCCGCGUAAAUGAUGAAGGCCGUGGAGUUGUAAAGCUCUUUCACCUAAGAAGAUAAUGACGGUAUCCGGAGAAAAAGCCCCGGCUAACUUCGUG
rnacentral:rRNA from 1 species